UUGCAUAUCAAUAAGCGGAGGAAAAGAAACUAACAAGGAUUCCCCUAGUAACGGCGAGUGAACCGGGAAGAGCUCAAAUUUGAAAUCUGGCGUCCUCAGGGCGUCCGAGUUGUAAUCUAUAGAGGCGUUUUCCGUGCCGGACCGUGUCCAAGUUCCUUGGAACAGGAUAUCAAAGAGGGUGACAAUCCCGUACUUGACACGACGACCGGUGCUCUGUGAUACGUCUUCUACGAGUCGAGUUGUUUGGGAAUGCAGCUCAAAAUGGGUGGUGAGUUCCAUCUAAAGCUAAAUAUUGGCGAGAGACCGAUAGCGAACAAGUACCGUGAGGGAAAGAUGAAAAGCACUUUGGAAAGAGAGUUAAACAGUACGUGAAAUUGUUGAAAGGGAAACGAUUGAAGUCAGUCGUGACCGAGAGGCUCAGCCGGUUCUGCCGGUGUAUUCCCCUCGGUCGGGUCAACAUCAGUUUUGUCCGGUGGAUAAGGGCGGUAGGAAGGUGGCACCCUCGGGUGUGUUAUAGCCUGCCGUCGCAUACAUCGGGUGAGACUGAGGAACGCAGCUCGCCUUUAUGGCCGGGGUUCGCCCACGUCCGAGCUUAGGAUGUUGACAUAAUGGCUUUAAACGACCCGUCUUGAAACACGGACC
rnacentral:rRNA from 1 species